AUUGAACGCUGGCGGCAUGCCUUACACAUGCAAGUCGAACGGCAGCACGGGAGCAAUCCUGGUGGCGAGUGGCGAACGGGUGAGUAAAGUAUCGGAACGUGCCCAGUCGUGGGGGAUAACGUAGCGAAAGUUACGCUAAUACCGCAUACGAUCUAUGGAUGAAAGCGGGGGAUCGCAAGACCUCGCGCGAUUGGAGCGGCCGAUAUCAGAUUAGGUAGUUGGUGGGGUAAAGGCUCACCAAGCCGACGAUCUGUAGCUGGUCUGAGAGGACGACGAGCCACACAGGGACUGGGACACGGCCCAGUGUCCUACGGGAGGCUAUGGGGGGGAAGUUUAGACAAUGGGCGGAAGCCUGAUACAGCUAUGCCGCGUGCAGGAUGAUGGCCUUCGGGUUGUAAACUGCUUUUGUACGGAACGAAAAGGUUUGGGCUAAUAAGCUGAGCUCAUGACGGUACCGUAAGAAUAAGCACCGGCUAUCUACGUGCCAGCCGCCGCCGUAA
rnacentral:rRNA from 1 species